rfam:Dictyostelium discoideum mitochondrial DNA, complete genome.
GUCUUAGUAGCUCAGAUGGUAGAGCAGUAGGCUGUUAACUUAUUGGUCAUUGGUUCGACCCCAAUCUAAGACG